GCUUACGGCCAUAUCAGCCUGGGUACGCCCGAUCUCGUCUGAUCUCGUAAGCUAAGCAGGUUCGGGCCUGGUUAGUACUUGGAUGGGAGACCGCCUGGGAAUACCAGGUGCUGUAAGCA
rnacentral:rRNA from 1 species